rnacentral:rRNA from 1 species
CAGCACCUCAAGUGGUCAGGAUGAUUAUUGGGCCUAAAGCAUCCGUAGCCGGCGCUGUAAGUUUUCGGUUAAAUCUGUACGCUCAACGUACAGGCUGCCGGGAAUACUGCAGCGCUAGGGAGUGGGAGAGGUAGACGGUACUCGGUAGGAAGGGGUAAAAUCCUUUGAACUAUUGAUGACCACCUGUGGCGAAGGCGGUCUACCAGAACACGUCCGACGGUGAGGGAUGAAAGCUGGGAGAGCAAACCGGAUUAGAUACCCGAGUAGUCC